rfam:Haemonchus placei strain MHpl1 genome assembly, scaffold: HPLM_scaffold0001319
GGCCCAAAUUUGAAGUUGAGUAGAUUAGAAGGAUCAUCUGACCAUACUAAACUACUCUACUUCGAAUUUGUGCCC